GUUGUUUUGCGCACAAAAUGUAUUCUCGUCGGUUUGGAACAACACGAGGUAUGGCGCCAUCUAUGGGCUCAAACGGUAACUGACUGGAGUAAAAAUGGCUUCGGAUUGUUAUGGAGAACGUGAUCCUUUUGGUUGAUCGCUAAGAGUCCCCAAGACACCGAAAACAUAGAAAGAACAAGGUACAGGUAAGACACAGAACAGACCUGCUGCAACACACCAAAUGAGAACCACUGCACUGAUGUAAACUAACCUGAAUCAUGCAAUAUAAUGCAGCUGAAUGCUUUGGACAAUGAAGAAGUAACAUGAAAGUACAGGGAAAGAGCAGAGGAGAACAGGACAGGGACAUGACCUUGGACCGAGGUGAACCCGGAUCCCUCUAUGUCACGGCACCAUUGACUAAUCUGUUGGCGGCCAACUAAAGUCAGAGAAAAAAGUCCAUCUGACAGCAGGACACAGAAGUACCUUUGUAUGUGAGAAUGUCAACAGUUACUCUGGGUGAAUACAGACGAGCACUGAGAAGGAAAGUGCAAGGACAGUGUAAAUGCACUGGAGGAAGUCGAGAAUACAGAUAAAUUGUGGGACUGACCCGUAUGUGUAUCUCUUCAAGGAAAGCUGGAGACCGCUCUGGGUCGCUGGAGAUGUCGUCCUCUGAUUCCUCCCAGGACGAGGAGAAUCCCGUUGAGGAGGCAGAAGACGAGGACAGCUUUCUUACGGCUCUG